AGUCUGGCCUGCCCACUGACCAGAGUUAAAGGGCUGCGGUAUUACUAACCGUGCAAAGGUAGCAUAAUCAAUAGUCUUUUAAAAGGAGGCUUGUAUGAAUGGUUUGACAAGGGUGCGGCUGUCUCUUAAGUAUAAAUUGAAUUUUACUUUUAAGUGAAAAGGCUUAAAUGAAAUGGAGGGACGAGAAGACCCUAUAAAGCUUUACAGGAGUAGUAGUCUAAAGGGUUUGUUGUGAGUAAGUAACUUAGUUGAUUAUUUAUACUGUUUUGUUGGGGCGACAAUAAUAUAAUGAGUAACUGUUAUAAAAUGAAAAUAGUUAUAGCUAUCUAAAAUUAAUGACCCUGUAAUAUUGGUUACUAGAUUAAGUUACUUUAGGGAUAACAGCGUAAUUUUCCUUGAGAGUCCAUAUCGACAGGAGUAGUUGCGACCUCGAUGUUGAAUUAGGGAUAGUUUUGUGGUGGAGAAACUGCAUAGAGUAGGUCUGUUCGACCUUUGAAACCCUACAUGAUUUGAGUUCAGACCGGUUUAAGCCAGGUG
rnacentral:rRNA from 1 species